GGUGCGAUGGUUGUCGUCAGCUCGUGUCGUGAGAUGUUGGGUUAAGUCCGCAACGAGCGCAACCCCUAUUGUUAGUUGCCAUCAUUCAGUUGGGCACUCUAGCGAGACUGCCGGUAAUAAACCGGAGGAAGGUGGGGAUGACGUCAAAUCAUCAUGCCCCUUAUGACCUGGGCUACACACGUGCUACAAUGAUUGGUACAACGAGUUGCGAGUCGGUGACGGCGAGCUAAUCUCUUAAAGCCAAUCUCAGUUCGGAUUGUAGGCUGCAACUCGCCUACAUGAAGUCGGAAUCGCUAGUAAUCGCGGAUCAGCACGCCGCGGUGAAUACGUUCCCGGGCCUU
rnacentral:rRNA from 1 species